rnacentral:rRNA from 1 species
GACGAACGCUGGCGGCGCGCCUCACACAUGCAAGUCGAGCGAGAACCAGGGCUUCGGCCCUGGGGACAGCGGCGAACGGGUGCGUAACACGUGAGCAACCUGCCCCGAAGACCGGGACAAGCCGGGGAAACCUGGUCUAAUACCGGAUGCCCUCUCCUGAUCACCUGGUCGGGCGAGGAAAUGGAUUCCGCUUCGGGAUGGGCUCGCGGUCUAUCAGCUUGUUGGUGGGGUAACGGCCUACCAAGGCGACGACGGAUAGCUGGUCUGAGAGGACGAUCAGCCACACUGGGACUGAGACACGGCCCAGACUCCUACGGGAGGCAGCAGUGGGGAAUCUUGCGCAAUGGGCGUAAGCCUGACGCAGCGACGCCGCGUGGGGA